UGCAGAGAACAACAGAUGAAGAAUGAUGAGAGAAAAGAAAAGUUGAGUGGUGUUGUUAUUAUGGCAUCAAAGAAAGAAGAUCACCAUGCAUCACCAUCCACAACAUCAUCAAGCUCCAAGGCGGCUGCUGCUGCUGCUUCUAGGAAAAGUGAGACUCUGGCUGCUGCUUGACUUGAAGACUCUAGUAUUUUGGAGAGAUAAUUAAUGGCUACAGAUAAUAUAUAUUGCCAUUAUCAGUCCACAUCAACUCCAUUGAUGCCCCCCAUAAAUAUUUUACAUGAUGAGCUUUGAGCAAGACAAUAUAUUAUAUAAUAUAAUUAUUGUGUAAAAUUAUGUAGNAAAUUAAAAAAAAAAACCGAUAAUGGGUGUACUUAUUUUUAUGGAUGCUAAAUUGCUAAUUAAUGGAAAUGGCUUGAUCUUUCUCUCCAA
rnacentral:misc_RNA from 1 species